GUCGAUUCUAAUUGUGUUAGUUCGUCAAAUAUUUAUGACCGGCACUUAAUUCUAGGCUUUUGAUAUCCUGGCAUCACUUAUCUGGAACAUCUGCUGAUGAAGGAUCAUUUUUGGCCUACAUUGAUUUCACACGUGGGCAGCGGGCACUCGUCAGCAAGUUUCUGAAAAUGUACUGUGCAUGAAGAAGAUGUUAAUAAUAAAGCAAAGAGUUUUUGUCAUAAAGUGUACAUCCUUCAAAAUUUGUCAACAAAAAUUUCAAGCUAAAUUUCACAUCACACCACUAAUUAAGGCCGUAAUACUUAAAUUUACUAAGAAGUGAAAUCAGACUUUGCUAAAAAAAAUGUGUAUUUACGAGCUACAGGAGACUGCAGUUCUAAUACCUGCUGCAAUUACACAUGCCAUGUAGCACAUUACAUGUGCAUUUGUAUUACAUAUAGACUAAUAAAACAGAGGUAUACUAAAACUCGA